GCGUCCGUAGCUCAGUUGGAUAGAGCAACGGCCUUCUAAGCCGUGGGUCGCAGGUUCGAAUCCUGCCGGACGCG
rnacentral:tRNA from 1 species